GACGAACGCUGGCGGCGUGCCUAAUACAUGCAAGUAGAACGCUGAAGGCGGAGCUUGCUUCUCUGGAUGAGUUGCGAACGGGUGAGUAACGCGUAGGUAACCUGCCUGGUAGCGGGGGAUAACUAUUGGAAACGAUAGCUAAUACCGCAUAAUAGUAGAUGUUGCAUGACAUUUGCUUAAAAGGUGCAAUUGCAUCACUACCAGAUGGACCUGCGUUGUAUUAGCUAGUUGGUGGGGUAACGGCUCACCAAGGCGACGAUACAUAGCCGACCUGAGAGGGUGAUCGGCCACGCUGGGACUGAGACACGGCCCAGACUCCUGCGGGAGGCAGCAGUAGGGAAUCUUCGGCAAUAGACGGAAGUCUGACCGAGCAACGCCGCGUGAGUGAAGAAGGUUUUCGGGUCGUAAAGCUCUGUUGUAAGAGAAGAACGAGUGUGAGAGUGGAAAGUUCACACUGUGACGGUAUCUUACCAGAAAGGGACGGCUAACUACGUG
rnacentral:rRNA from 1 species